UUCCUAUGUAGGCAAAAAAAAAACAAAUAAAAACAUUGUAGGUUUUCUUUUAUGAAUAAAUUUUAAUCUUACUUAACCCCGUAAGACCCACUGUUUCAGUAUUACAACAUUUGUGGUUACUCCCCAAAACCCCUUUUAUCUUUUUUUUUAUUGUUUGUUUGUUUAUACAACCACAUCAAUAUGAUCUGUGGGUCCUACAUUUUAUUCCCACCAUGUAAUUGGAUCCAGGAUUUGUAUACAAAGCCCACCCUUAAGUCAAGAAGUGGCACAUCUUACAACUUUCUGAUGAAGCAACAUCCCUUUGAUUUACUGGACUGGAUUCAUCUUCAAGUCUUUUGCAAGAGACACCUGGCCACACCUGGCCAAUCCUCCAAGUUGUGCGGGAUGCUCCUGGUGCUUUGUUCUGGCACAGGUGUAAAUGUUCAUCACUGUUAGAUUUUGUUGUAAACUGGAUGCUGAAUGCAUUCCUGUAAGGAUUACAAUCACAGUCUACUAUAGAAUGCCACCAGCAAGGAGAAAUCCUCGGUACAAUGUGCACAAUGUUAAUGGCCAUCAUCCAAAAAGGAGAAAGUGAUGUGGACAUCGAUUUUGACGACACUGAUGCAAGUGAUGAAGAAUCAGAUAUUGAUGUCUCAUGUGGACAAAGAAAACCAAGAACCUACCGAUUGUCCAGCUAAUGUGAAUAUUGAGCCCGGGCAAUCAAAGAAAUACAUCAAGCCAUAUGACAGACGUCACUGAUUUCUCUGGUCAAGCUCUCACAGAUGAUGUCACCUCCCUCCACACACCACUGCAAUACUUCCAAAAGUUUGUGUCAGAAGAUUUGGUUCAAGCUCUGGCAACAAAUACGAAUGAGUACAGCAUUCAAAAUGACGAAAGAUCAGUCAACACUAAUACAAAAGAAAUACAGGCAGCAUUGGGUAUGUACCUGAGGAUGGAACAUUACAUUUUGUAAACAAUUUAACCAUGCCAGAGACUGAAAAGAGGGACAAACUCUGGAAACUCAGACCACGGCUUGAUUCACUCAGAGAAAACUGCCUGCAGGUGGUACCAGAAGAGCACAUUCCAUGGACAAGAUGAUGAUACCCUUCAACGGGAAGUUCAGCAGCAUCAAGAAGUAUAUGCAAGGUAAUCUACACUCAUGAGGCUUUAAAGUAUGGGUGAAAGCUGGAAUCUCAGGGUGUCAGGUGAUGACAGGUGAAUUGUCAGGUGAUGUUGUAAUGAAGCUUGCCUCCACAUUUCCAAAGGGUCAACACAACAAGAUCUAGGCAGAUAAUUACUUCACCUCCGUUCCACUGGUAGUGAAGCUCCUUGAGCAAGGAAUCCAUUAUGUGGGAAAGGCCAGGCAAGUGCAUCUACCCAUCUAACUGUAACAUUUACAUGUGAAGAGCUUGAAGAAGAAGGGCAGAGGAAGCUUUGACCACAGAGUGGAGGGGAAACAACAUCUGUGCAGUAAAAAUGGUACAACAACAGGGCGGUGACACUUGUGUCAUCCUUCGCUGGACCAGAACCUGUUCAGGAGAUUCAACACUGGGACAAAGCCGCCAAAACCUACAUUGACGUUAGAAAGGCUUCCAUUGUGGGCAUCUACAAUAAAUACAUGGGAGGUGUGGAUUUGUUGGACUCAUUUACAGCAAAACACAAGUAUGCACUGAAAUCCUGGCGGUGGUACAUGUACAUCUUCUGGCACACAAUCACCCUUGCUGUAGUCAACGCCUGGCUCCUCUACAAGCAGCACAGCCUAUGCUCUCAGAAUGCCAAAGAAGGAGAUACUGAACAUGAGAAAGUUCGAAGCACAGCUGGCUUCCUCUCUCAUUACGAGGACAGGAACCAUUUCUGGGAUUACCACUAUAAGUAAAGGUGGACUUCACGCUGAGCACACAGAUUUCAGUGGAGAGUGAGAGAACACUGCAGACAUUGCACUGUUAACAAUCUUGAUGGGCACCUCUUCGGACCUGACGUGCUACCCAGCUACGCAAACGCAGCUAAGUGGAUGUACUCUCUUGUGAUUGGCCAGAGUGAUCACGAGUCUACGGAUGUUUGGGUCUCAUUGCUGAAAGAGUGCAUGAAUCGGUGGAAAAACCCCAGCCCCCCUGUGCUGCCAGCUUCUCCAAGCCCCGUGCUCCCUCUUUUGCCAAAACCACCCUGAGAACGACCAACAACUGGCUGAAGGAAGAGCUGCAACAGGUUAACGAAAGGCAGAAAGCAACGAAGGAGUGCCUGCUCAGAUGCAUUCUGUUUAG